CUAAAACGACUCUCGGCAACGGAUAUCUCGGCUCUCGCAUCGAUGAAGAACGUAGCGAAAUGCGAUACUUGGUGUGAAUUGCAGAAUCCCGUGAACCAUCGAGUCUUUGAACGCAAGUUGCGCCCUAAGCCUUUUGGCCGAGGGCACGUCUGCCUGGGUGUCACA
rnacentral:rRNA from 1 species